rnacentral:rRNA from 1 species
GACAGAGGGUGCAAACGUUGUUCGGAAUUACUGGGCGUAAAGCGUGUGUAGGCGGUCUCAUAAGUCGGAUGUGAAAUCCCGGGGCUCAACCCCGGAACUGCAUCCGAUACUGCCAUGCUAGAGGAUUGGAGAGGUAGCUGGAAUUCUUGGUGUAGCAGUGAAAUGCGUGGAGAUCAAGAGGAACACUCGUGGCGAAAGCGAGCUACUGGACAAUAUCUGACGCUGAGGCUCGAAGGCCAGGGUAGCGAAAGGG